GUGGGGAAUCUUCCGCAAUGGACGAAAGUCUGACGGAGCAACGCCGCGUGAGUGAUGAAGGUCUUCGGAUUGUAAAGCUCUGUUAAUCGGGACGAAAGAGCCUAGUGUGAAUAAUGCUAGGAAGUGACGGUACCGGAAUAGAAAGCCACGGCUAACUACGUGCCAGCAGCCGCGGUAAUACGUAGGUGGCAAGCGUUGUCCGGAAUUAUUGGGCGUAAAGCGCGCGCAGGCGGAUCUGCCAGUCUGUCUUAAAAGUUAGGGGCUUAACCCCGUGAUGGGAUGGAAACUACAGAUCUAGAGUAUCGGAGAGGAAAGUGGAAUUCCUAGUGUAGCGGUGAAAUGCGUAGAUAUUAGGAAGAACACCAGUGGCGAAGGCGACUUUCUGGACGAAAACUGACGCUGAGGCGCGAAAGCCAGGGGAGCGAACGGGAUUAGAAACCCGUGUAGUCC
rnacentral:rRNA from 1 species